UACGGAGGGUGCGAGCGUUGUUCGGAAUCACUGGGCGUAAAGCGCGUGUAGGCGGCCCACUAAGUCUGAUGUGAAAGCCCGGGGCUCACCCCCGGAAGUGCAUUGGAAACUGGUGGACUCGAGUCCCGGAGAGGAGAGUGGAAUUCCUGGUGUAGCGGUGAAAUGCGUAGAUAUCGAGGAGGAACACCGGUGGCGAAGGCGGCUCU
rnacentral:rRNA from 1 species